GAUCCUGGCUUAGAACGAACGCUGGCGGCGUGCUUAACACAUGCAAGUCGAACGCGAAAGGGACUUCGGUCCUGAGUAAAGUGGCGCACGGGUGAGUAACGCGUGGAUAAUCUACCCGAUGGACCGGGAUAACAUUUCGAAAGGGGUGCUAAUACCGGAUAAGACCACGGCUUCUUAGGGGGCUGCGGUAAAAGGUGGGGACCUUCGGGCCUACCGUCAUCGGAUGAGUCCGCGUACCAUUAGCUAGUUGGUAGGGUAAGGCCUACCAAGGCGACGAUGGUUAGCUGGUCUGAGAGGAUGAUCAGCCACACUGGAACUGAGACACGGUCCAGACUCCUACGGGAGGCAGCAGUGGGGAAUUUUGCGCAAUGGGGGAAACCCUGACGCAGCAACGCCGCGUGAGUGAUGAAAGGCCUUCGGGUCGUAAAGCUCUGUCAGAGGGGAAGAAGUGCAGGGGUGCUAAUAUCACCUUUGCUUGACGGUACCCUCAAAGGAAGCACCGGCUAACUCCGUGCCAGCAGCAGC
rnacentral:rRNA from 1 species